UCUUGGGCCAUGCGGCGGAGGCGACCGCCGGGGGCCCACGAAGGAGGGGGCCCAACAACUAAUAUACAGCUAGGCAGUCGUCGUGCGACUGUGCGAGACGAGGGUCCUGCGCCUAGCUCCUACCCCUGAUCGUCGUCACCCUGCUGUGCCUGCAACCUGCAAGGUCCUGCGUCCCUGCCCGAUCCUGUGCUCGCUUGCUCGUUGCUCCCGUCGCCACCACGUCGAUGUUCCUUUCUUCGUGAUUGUUGAUUGGUCUUAGAUGUUUCCCAAGAAACAAUUGUCACGUGCUCAAAUAUCUUGGACAACAUUGAUUUAGAUACGAUUCUUAAUGAUUUCGCAUCAAGAAAUGCA